rnacentral:rRNA from 1 species
CCUACGGGGGGCAGCAGUGAGGAAUAUUGGUCAAUGGGCGUAAGCCUGAACCAGCCAUCCCGCGUGCAGGAAGAAGGCGCUAUGCGUCGUAAACUGCUUUUCCAGGGGAAGAAAACCCGCUACGUGUAGUGGCUUGCCGGUACCCUGGGAAUAAGCAUCGGCUAACUCCGUGCCAGCAGCCGCGGUAAUACGGAGGAUGCGAGCGUUAUCCGGUUUAAUUGGGUUGAAGGCGGGCGAAGGCGUCAUAAUAGAAAGCCUUCAGCUUAACUGGAGACUUGCCAUUGAUACUGUUAGUCUUGAGUACGGUCAAGGUAGGCGGAAUGUGUAAUGUAGCGGUGAAAUGCUUAGAUAUUACACAGAACACCGAUUGCGAAGGCAGCUUACUGGGCCAUUACUGACGCUGAUGCACGAAAGCGUGGGGAGCGAACAGGAUUAGAUACCCCAGUAGUC